AGCAGCCGCGGUAAUUCCAGCUCCAAUAGCGUAUAUUAAAGUUGUUGCAGUUAAAAAGCUCGUAGUUGAAUUUCGGGAUUGACACAUCGGUCGUGCCUUAAGGGGUGUGAACUGGUGUAGUCAAUUUCUCACCUUCUGGAGAACCGCGAUGUCCUUAAUUGGGUGCCGCGAGGAACCAGGACCUUUACUUUGAAAAAAUUAGAGUGUUUAAAGCAGGCAUUUUUGCUUGAAUACAUUAGCAUGGAAUAAUAAAAUAGGACGGCAUGAUUCUAUUUUGUUGGUUUCUAGGAUCACCGUAAUGAUUAAUAGGGAUAGUUGGGGGCAUUAGUAUUCAAUUGUCAGAGGUGAAAUUCUUGGAUUUAUUGAAGACUAACUACUGCGAAAGCAUUUGCCAAGGAUGUUUUCAUUAAUCAAGAACGAAAGUUAGGGGAUCGAAGACGAUCAGAUACCGUCGUAGUCUUAACCAUAAACUAUGCCGACUAGGAAUCAGACGAUGUUAAUUUUUUAAUGACUCGUUUGGCACCUUACG
rnacentral:rRNA from 3 species